rnacentral:rRNA from 1 species
UACGAAGGGGGGCUAGCGUUUGCUCGGAAUCACUGGGCGUAAAGCGCACGUAGGCGGCUUUUUAAGUCAGGGGUGAAAUCCUGGAGCUCAACUCCAGAACUGCCUUUGAUACUGAAAGCUUGAGUCCGGGAGAGGUGAGUGGAACGUGCGAGUGUAGAGGUGAAAUUCGUAGAUAUUCGCAAGAACACCAGUGGGCGAAGGCGGCUCACUGGCCCAUUACUGACGCUGAGGCUCGGAAAGCGUGGGGAGCAACA